ACGCUAAUACCGCAUACGAUCUAAGGAUGAAGGCGGGGGAUCGCAAGACCUCGCGCGACUGGAGCGGCCGAUAUCAGAUUAGGUAGUUGGUGAGGUAAAGGCUCACCAAGCCAACGAUCUGUAGCUGGUCUGAGAGGACGACCAGCCACACUGGAACUGAGACACGGUCCAGACUCCUACGGGAGGCAGCAGUGGGGAAUUUUGGACAAUGGACGCAAGUCUGAUCCAGCCAUUCCGCGUGCAGGAUGAAGGCCCUCGGGUUGUAAACUGCUUUUGUACGGAACGAAAAGGUCUCUCCUAAUACGAGGGGCUCAUGACGGUACCGUAAGAAUAAGCACCGGCUAACUACGUGCCAGCAGCCGCGGUAAUACGUAGGGUGCAAGCGUUAAUCGGAAUUACUGGGCGUAAAGCGUGCGCAGGCGGUUAUGUAAGACAGAGGUGAAAUCCCCGGGCUCAACCUGGGAACUGCCUUUGUGACUGCAUAGCUAGAGUACGGUAGAGGGGGAUGGAAUUCCGCGUGUAGCAGUGAAAUGCGUAGAUAUGCGGAGGAACACCGAUGGCGAAGGCAAUCCCCUGGACCUGUACUGACGCUCAUGCACGAAAGCGUGGGGAGCAAACAGGAUUAGAUACCCUGGUAGUCCACGCCCUAAACGAUGUCAACUGGUUGUUGGGUCUUAACUGACUCAGUAACGAAGCUAACGCGUG
rnacentral:rRNA from 1 species